rnacentral:rRNA from 1 species
UAGAGUUUGAUCCUGGCUCAGAUUGAACGCUGGCGGCAUGCCUUACACAUGCAAGUCGAACGGCAGCACGGGAGCAAUCCUGGUGGCGAGUGGCGAACGGGUGAGUAAUAUAUCGGAACGUGCCCAGUCGUGGGGGAUAACGCAGCGAAAGCUGUGCUAAUACCGCAUACGAUCUCUGGAUGAAAGCGGGGGACCUGCAAGGGCCUCGCGCGAUUGGAGCGGCCGAUAUCAGAUUAGCUAGUUGGUGGGGUAAAAGCUCACCAAGGCGACGAUCUGUAGCUGGUCUGAGAGGACGACCAGCCACACUGGAACUGAGACACGGUCCAGACUCCUACGGGAGGCAGCAGUGGGGAAUUUUGGACAAUGGGCGCAAGCCUGAUCCAGCAAUGCCGCGUGCAGGAUGAAGGCCUUCGGGUUGUAAACUGCUUUUGUACGGAACGAAAAGGCUCUUUUUAAUAAAGAGGGCUCAUGACGGUACCGUAAGAAUAAGCACCGGCUAACUACGUGCCAGCAGCCGCGGUAAUACGUAGGGUGCGAGCGUUAAUCGGAAUUACUGGGCGUAAAGCGUGCGCAGGCGGUUUUGUAAGACAGAUGUGAAAUCCCCGGGCUCAACCUGGGACCUGCAUUUGUGACUGCAAGGCUAGAGUACGGUAGAGGGGGAUGGAAUUCCGCGUGUAGCAGUGAAAUGCGUA